rnacentral:tRNA from 1 species
GCCGGGAUGGUGGAACUGGCAGACACUCAGGACUUAAAAUCCUGUGCUAGCAAUAGCGUGCGGGUUCAAAUCCCGCUCCCGGCA